CGCGCCUGUGUGUGCGCGCAGCGGGCUCGGGGCACCUAGGUCUCGGCCUAGUGCGGGCGGCCAGGCUACCGGGCGGGCCCCCCACCUCGGUUUUCCAGGAAAACUCAGGCCCAAGAAAUUGAGUACUUCCCCUAGAGUUACAAAGCUGAAUCCGACCCAGACCCCGGGACUCCCCUCUCUGUGCUCCACCCGGAAGCUUCUCCACUGUCCUUGAUUUCCCAUUCUGUCCUCCUGGCUUCCCAGUAAGAUAUGGUUGGAGGAGUGUUACCGGCUUGCCUAUGAUGUAUGAGACCCUAGUUUCCAUUCCUAUCGCCAAGAAAGAGAAGAGACUGGUCCAGAGGACUCGAGGCCCAGUUCUGUAUGUCCAUGGACCUGUCCCUUAGUGCCCAGGGAUGGAAUGGUUGUGAGAAGGUGCAAGAGGAAGCUUCAUUUUAGGUGACCCUGCCUCCAGUACUGGGAAACAAAUCCAGCUGCCUAUGUAUGGCUAGCAUCCAGCCUCAGGACCACCUUUGACCACCAUCAACAAAGCUAUGCAUGCCUGGGACCCCCCUGCCUCACUGUCCCGGGCACUACCCCUCGCUUCCUCGGUCCUGAUGCUGCUGCUGAGCUGCCUGUGGUUGCUGGGGGCUGGCCCCAGCCUCAGGUUGGCUCCAGAGCUGCUAACGGAACCCUGGCAGGUGCACCGGCUGCUGACCCAUGCUCUGGGCCACACUGCACUGCCUGGCCUGCUCCUGAGCC
rnacentral:lncRNA from 1 species